rnacentral:rRNA from 1 species
UACGAGAGCCCCGAGCGUUAUCCGGAAUUAUUGGGCGUAAAGGGUGCGUAGGUUGUUGUGUUAGUCGUUUGUUAAAUCUUCUCGCUUAACGAGAAAACCGCGAACGAAACGGCACAACUAGAGAGUGUGAGGGGUGAAUGGAACUCAUGGUGUAGGGGUGAAAUCCGUUGAUAUCAUGGGGAACACCAAAAGCGAAGGCAAUUCACUGGCACACAUCUGACACUCAAGCACGAAAGCGUGGGUAGCGAAUGGG